AUAUAUAGUUCAAUGGGAGCUGAGCAGACAGGGCUGCAAGGAAAUCUGGCGCGGUUCAAUACCUCGUCUAGCCUGGUUUCCAGUAUUUAAUUUUUUUUUACUGACAAACUCAUUUCUCUACCGGGGCAGGAUGCUGUGUUGGCUGGAAGUUCCAUUUCUACAGCAAGAAUCCUAUCUGGAAACAGAGAAGUUGUCCUCUAGCCACAGCAGCUCGAACUUUUUUGACUGUUGUUGCUGCUUUCUCCCAUCACCCCCACCCCCCUUUUGACAAAGAUCCAACUGUAAAAAGUCUUACGUAACAAUUCAGGACUACUUCGGUUCUUUUACGGGGUGCCCAAGUAUAAUCAAGAGGCCCCGGCAGUACUACAAAAACAUUUGCAUCUCCAAGCUGGAAAAAUGCGGACUUCAGUAUUUCAUGGAACUUCUGGAAAGGGAAAGAAAGGAGCACUGGCUCAAGACUCCAGACACUGAAAAGGAGACCAAUUCAGAUGGCUUGAUUAAGAAUGGAGGCAAGGCUGCAAAGAGAAGCCUGAGAAUGCGGCACUGAGCUUUUACCUAGUUCUUGAACUUCAAGAUGGCUCCUGCUACUUGAGGUAUAUUCCCCUUCCUUAGAACAUUUUCAAGAUAAGAGAAUUCUGAAUAUAAAAUGUGAUCUAAGUGGUGGAAAGCAGAAGCCUGGGUGGCUCAAUUUAGCAGAAUAGCUCUGGCAACAGCAGCUGAAAUGAGAGCCAAAGAUUUUUUUUUUUAACUACAUAUCUUUUUUCUUUAUGAGACAAGAUCCUCUAAAAAAAAAUUUUAAUGCAGAGACAAUGAAAAUCAGCCUGUAAUCCCACUCUCCUAAAGAUAUGCUGUUAACUGUUCAAUGUAUCUUCUUCUAGACAUUCCUUAUACCUAUAUAAACAGAUGUAUUUUAAUAUAAAUGAAAUCAGAUAUACAGACACAUACACACCCAUUUUAAACUGCUUUUUUCUUUCACUAUAUUGUAUGCAUUUUUCUACAUCAAUAAAAAUCUGCCUUCUCAAUAA